UACAGAGGGUGCGAGCGUUAAUCGGAAUUACUGGGCGUAAAGCGCGCGUAGGCGGCUUUGCAAGUCGAGUGUGAAAUCCCCAGGCUUAACCUGGGAACUGCAUUCGAGACUGCAUAGCUAGAGUAUGGGAGAGGGAAGUGGAAUUUCAGGUGUAGCGGUGAAAUGCGUAGAUAUUGGGAAGAACACCAAUGGCGAAGGCAGCUCUCUGGACCGUUACUGACGCUGAGGCGCGAAAGCGUGGGGAGCAAACAGG
rnacentral:rRNA from 1 species